CGCUAGGUUCUGCUACUGAUUUUGAAUUUGAGAAGGGUUUACCGAGAAAUUCAAUAGCGAAAAUUAUCGACGAAAUGGAGUAGCGAACUGUUGACUUAUAGUCUAGCCCUUUCUACUUUCUAGUAGCUUCUAUUCGGAUAAUCCUUUUUAAUUCCACCAUAUUAUGUUCCUUUCUUUUAAAAUUUGCAUUUAAGCCUAUCGGUUAAUAAC
rnacentral:lncRNA from 1 species